rnacentral:rRNA from 1 species
UCCGUAGGUGAACCUGCGGAAGGAUCAUUACAGAAAGUAAACGCGGAUCGAACCGCGAACUUCUAAACCUUUGACGAUUGACUCAUGUUGCCUCGGCGGGUUCUCCCGCCAGAGGAUACAUCAAAACUCCUGUUUUAACGGUGUUGUCUGAGCUACAAGCAACGAAUCAAAACUUUCAACAACGGAUCUCUUGGUUCUGGCAUCGAUGAAGAACGCAGCGAAAUGCGAUAAGUAGUGUGAAUUGCAGAAUUCAGUGAAUCAUCGAAUCUUUGAACGCACAUUGCGCCCCUUGGUAUCCCGAGGGGCAUGCCUGUUCGAGCGUCAUUUCACCACUCAAGCCUGGCUUGGUGUUGGGCGACGUCCCCUUUGGGGACGCGCCUCGAAACGCUCGGCGGCGUGGCACCGGCUUUAAGCGUAGCAGAAUCUUUCGCUUUAAAAGUCGGGGCCCCGUCUGCCGGAAGACCUACUCGCAAGGUUGACCUCGGAUCAGGCAGGGAUACCCGCUGAACUUAAGCAUAUCAAUAAGCGGAGGAAAAGAAACCAACC